rnacentral:ncRNA from 1 species
UGACGUUAGAGGCAAACCCAUCAAAAGGUGGGGACGCAAAGCUACAGGGUCUAAGGUGCAUACCCGCACUAUGACAGCCUGGCUGCCGAA